UAAAUUGCCGCAUCAAGGACAACCGUGAUCAAAAAGACGGUUUCCUCCAUGGGGUGAGCCCUAUCAUUGCACAUCGAUUGGGUUAACCCCUGCGAGUUUCCCAAAGUGGUUUUCUCGGAUGCAUAAUUUUUGGUAGCUGGGACUAGCGUUCGCGCUGUCCCUC